GGAGGAAAGCAGGGGAUCGCAAGACCUUGCGCUUUUGGAGCGGCCGAUGCCUGAUUAGCUUGUUGGUGAGGUAAAGGCUUACCAAGGCUUCGAUCAGUAGCUGGUCUGAGAGGACGACCAGCCACACUGGGACUGAGACACGGCCCAGACUCCUACGGGAGGCAGCAGUGGGGAAUUUUGGACAAUGGGGGCAACCCUGAUCCAGCCAUGCCGCGUGAGUGAAGAAGGCCUUCGGGUUGUAAAGCUCUUUCAGCCGGAACGAAACAGUUACGAUUAAUACCCGUAACUACUGACGGUACCGGAAGAAGAAGCACCGGCUAACUACGUGCCAGCAGCCGCGGUAAUACGUAGGGUGCGAGCGUUAAUCGGAAUUACUGGGCGUAAAGCGUGCGCAGGUGGUUUUGUAAGUCAGAUGUGAAAUCCCCGGGCUUAACCUGGGAACUGCGUUUGAAACUACAAAGCUAGA
rnacentral:rRNA from 1 species